CUUAUCCUUUGUUGCCAGCGAUUAGGUCGGGAACUCAAAGGAGACUGCCAGUGAUAAACUGGAGGAAGGUGGGGAUGACGUCAAGUCAUCAUGGCCCUUACGACCAGGGCUACACACGUGCUACAAUGGCGCAUACAAAGAGAAGCGACCUCGCGAGAGCAAGCGGACCUCAUAAAGUGCGUCGUAGUCCGGAUUGGAGUCUGCAACUCGACUCCAUGAAGUCGGAAUCGCUAGUAAUCGUGGAUCAGAAUGCCACGGUGAAUACGUUCCCGGGCCUUGUACACACCGCCCGUCACACCAUGGGAGUGGGUUGCAAAAGAAGUAGGUAGCUUAACCUUCGGGAGGGCGCUUACCACUUUGUGAUUCAUGACUGGGGUGAAGUCGUAACAAGGUAACCGUAGGGGAACCUGC
rnacentral:rRNA from 3 species